CCAGACUCCUACGGGAGGCAGCAGCUAAGAAUAUUCCGCAAUGGACGGAAGUCUGACGGAGCGACGCCGCGUGGAUGAAGAAGGCUGAAAAGUUGUAAAAUCCUUUUGUUGAUGAAGAAUAAGGGGAAGAGGGAAUGCUUCUCUGAUGACGGUAAUCAGCGAAUAAGCCCCGGCUAAUUACGUGCCAGCAGCCGCGGUAACACGUAAGGGGCGAGCGUUGUUCGGAAUUAUUGGGCGUAAAGGGCAUGUAGGCGGCUAUGUAAGCCUGAUGUGAAAUCCUGGGGCUUAACCCUAGAAUAGCAUUGGGUACUGUGUAGCUUGAAUUACGGAAGGGAAACUGGAAUUCCAAGUGUAGGGGUGGAAUCUGUAGAUAUUUGGAAGAACACCGGUGGCGAAGGCGGGUUUCUGGCCGAUAAUUGACGCUGAGAUGCGAAAGUGUGGGGAUCGAACAGGAUUAGAUACCCUGGUAGUCCACACUGUAAACGAUGUACACUAGGUGUUGGGGCAAGAGCUUCAGUGCCAAAGCAAACGCGAUAAGUGUACCGCCUGGGGAGUAUGCCCGCAAGGGUGAAACUCAAAGGAAUUGACGGGGGCCCGCACAAG
rnacentral:rRNA from 1 species